rnacentral:ncRNA from 1 species
AGACUGUUGACAAAGUGUCCGCUACGGAGAGAACAGGCAGAUCGUAAAGACGCCGUAAAAUCGUCCCUGAUGGCUCGCGCCGCGCCAUAUAUGG